GUGGUGGAGGGGCUGAGCGAGGCGUUGGAGAGCUCCGAGGCUGGCCCCGAUGGCGUCCCCGUCUGCAGUGCCGCCUCGGUCGACUUGUCCACGCCCGUGUUUUCCUGCCGGUUCCAGAGCUGACCUAUACUUUCCAAUAUCAUAGCCACUACCCACAUGUGGCUACUGGGCACUUGAAGUGUGACUAGUCCGUAAGUGAAAACACACAACAGAUUUGAAGGCAGUACGAAAAGAAAGAAGCCCUGAGCUAACUACUGCCAGUCCUCCUCUUUUUUCCUGAGAAAGCCUGGCCCUGAGCUAACAUCCGUGCCCAUCUUCCUCUACUUUAUAUGUGGGACGCCUACCACAGCAUAGCGUGCCAAGUGGUGCCAUGUCUGCACCCGGGAUCCAAACCGGCGAACCCCGGGCCACUGAGAAGUGGAAUGUGUGGACUUAACCGCCGCGCCACUGGCCCGGCCCUCAUGUUGCAUUUCUACGGGACAAGGCUGUUCUGGAAGAUGUGUACAAACCAAAUCUUGAUCACUUUUCACAAUGCUUGAGAGAUUCGGGUUUUUCGGCAGUCGCCUUUAAGCAGACAAUAGAUCCCACAAGUUCAUGUGCGUACAAUUUUUAAAGUGUUUCAUGGUCAGUAAGCCUGGGAAAUAUUAGACUGGUGUAAAGAACACAUAGGAACCAGUCCAUCAAGAGUUACUAAGAGGAAGAAAAAGACACAGAUCCGACUCCCCACCACCAUCAGCUGGAGGAGCCACCCAGGUAUCCUGGAGUCCCGGUUUCAGGUCUCAGGGUGGGGUGGGCAGAGGGGAAACAGCUGCCGAGGUAAACCAAGGCCAAGGAGGUUGUGGCCUGCAGAUUCCCCCUCCCGACCUGCCCCAGCCCAGGAGGGUUUAUGAGGGCGGUGGGGUGAGUUGCACAGUUAGAACUGAGCUUGGUAAGAAAAGAACACCAGAGCGAGAGAAUAAGAGUCUCCAUUCAUUUUUCCUUGGGUGCAGACACACACACAUCCACACCUGUACCUUUGCACACGAGCCCCCCCGCCCCCAAGUGUGCCCACCCGUCUAAAUGCACAGACACAUCCAGCUGUACCCAAGGUCCUCGAAGUACUUUGGGAGAGGCCUAGGAAAUCCAGGCCACUGGGCGGGGUUGGGGCAUUGGGGGCUUGUAUUUCCCAAAGAAAAAAGCCUGAAAGCCUGGGCCCCUUCACUUCCCUUUGCGUGAGGAAAACACCCGCCAGAAGCCUCCCCAUAAAACAGAGGGCCGCGGGGAAUUGUACAGAUUCUGGGGUGUCCAGUUGCAUACUUCCAGAUGUGCCUGCAUCUGCCUGUCUUCUCAGUGUCUCAGACAGGGGUGGGAAGGGCCGACUCGCGGCCCCACCCUCCCCCGGGAACCACCCCAGCUACAGGGGCCUGAGGCCUCAAACACGCCUUUUUGGUGGCCUAACACAAUUUGGCCUCAAUUAAAAAGCAGAGCCGAGAGGAUCCUGGGGAGAGGAGGGAGACUCGGACCCUGCGAAGUGAGGAAACAAACUCUCUGCCCGGCUCCCCGGAUCUUCCCAGGAAGGAGGCAUUUUCCCUGGCCUUCUGCCCAAAGCAAGCUCAUCGCCCCUUCUAGAGCAAAUAAGUCCAGUGCUUCUAAGACCACCCUCAGCGUGCUCUUCUUGGAGUAGAGGGUCUUUCCCUGCCCAGCCUGCAGAAAUCUGCAAGAGUGAGACUCUGUGUCCGUAUGGCCCACGGAGAAAACGGAUGGAGAAAGCCCUCAGAGAGAGGACGUGACUUCCCCAAAGUCUCAUGGCAGGUCGGAUCAGGAAGGCUGGAGCCUUGGUGCCACCUUUGCCACUGUCUGGGCCUGAGUGUGUGUGAUCCUGGAGCAUCUCAUGUGUCUGACUCUGCAAGUAGUAGCUGGAGCAGGGAGCCCAGGGGUGGUGCACCGCUCAGCGGCCUGGGGCUCCGAGCCCUCGGGAAGGGCUGGAACCAGUUAGCUGCCGGCUGUUUGCUAUUUCUCCGGCGUUGCCCCUAACAGUGGUUUGUAAACAAUGACACCAUCUUCUACAACUGCCUUCUCUGCUUUGCUGGAUGUGAGGCGCUGGGAAUCUGAUGGAUGAAAAUCAACUCGACUAAAAGCCAGGCUGCUGUGGGGUUUUGUGUUGGAGCUAUUGUUCACCUUAAGCGGGGCUUCACCAGAAUUCUCUCCCAGGUAUUUCAGAAAGUCCCCUUCCAAGAGGUUGUUGAGGCAGGGAACCUAAGUCAUGUUCAUGUCCCAGGGACAUGGCACAGAGACUGGCAAAGAUUCAGAAUCUGUCAUAUGCAUUGAGAUAAUAGUAAUCAUAACAGAUAACAUUUAUGGACCCCUUACUAUGUGUCAGACCUCAUGCAUGCCACACUCUAACGUGCAGUCACAGGCCAUGUCUGUGAUAAGCCAAGUCGGGGGGUACUAUAAUUAGCCCCAUUUUAUAGAUUUAAGACCAGAGAGGCUCAGAGGGGUGAAGUCACUUGCCCAAGGUCACACAGAGGCCAAGCUGAGACUGAAAUCCAGGAACCCAGGAUUAUCUGCCAUAAAAGGUCCAUGCUCUCCUUAACACACGCUCCUGAGUCAGCAAGCGAAUGAAUGAAUGAAUGCCCGAGUGAGCGAAUAAACACAGAAGCAGCUGUGAUGCCGCAGAAAGAGCACUGGACGCAGCCUCCAGUUCUGGUUCUGCCACUGACCAGCCAAGUAAUCCUGUGCUGGCCCACUACCUCUGGGCUUGCCUCAGUUUCCCCACCUGUACAAGAGGGUUGGGCCAUACCACGUGAUGUCACACCAUCUCUGCGGCCUCUUUGCUUUCUGAUGGGCUGGGGUUCUAGGGCAACUGCCAAAGGAAGGAAGGACGAUCUGCUCUUCCCACCCAUCUUCUUACACCCACGGCCCUCUCUCUUCCUCUGCGGGGAGCGCCUUAGCCUGGUGCCCAGGGGAGCCUCGAUAAGUCCUGGGUGGGUGAGGAGGCCCACAUUGCCACAUGCUCUCUCCUCAGGCACCAAGUGGCCCUGCAGGCUGUGUUUUGCCUACAGCCCCAACUUCCCCAGAAUCCUUUCAUCAAAGAGGCCAGGAGGACCAGUGGGAAACCCACUUCGCCUCGCAAAUCCUCUCACGGGUCGCUACGGAAACCAGACAAAGCUUCCUGCCCAAAGAUGUCCCUCAUGGCAUUCUUUUACAACAUCAAACUAAUGGCUGCAUCCAAAGUGUCUCAUCAGAUGGGGCGAGCGCAAGUCACAACAACCAUCCUACACAUCACAAAGGAAAUGUGACCGAUGUUAUGUGAGGAAAAAAAUAAAAAAAUGAUGUCCUCUGGUAUUGCAACUUCAUAACAAAGAUAAGAGUGAUGAAUAGUAUUCAUUCAUUAAGUGCCAGACACCCUCUAAGUAAAGUUCUACGCAUUUCACACUAUUAACUCCGACAAGGUAAGCACUAACUCAUUGCCAGGUGAGGAGACUGAGGCACAGAGCCCAGCCAAAGAAGUCGAGCUGAGAUGUGAAUCCCAGCCCUCACCCACCACUUAACCUCUCCACUGCACACCUGGGGUACUGCUUUCUGUGCUUUUAUAUGGGUGAUUUUUUUCCCCUAUUUUUCUAACCUAUCUGUAUGGUGGUUCUAUUAUUUUAUAAACUUGUUAAAAAGUUUUUUCAAAGAACCAAAAUCAACAAGCCCUGGACUGGACAUCUUGAAUCCUUGGUUCCAGCUCCAGGGCUACAACUGCUUUGCUGUGGGGCCUUGGACAAGUCACUCUACUUCUCUGGGCUUCUAAGAGUUCCCUAUCUUCUAAAAUGGGAGAUUUGGGCCAAAUCAUCUAUGAAACUCCAUCCAGCCUCAACCAUUGAUGCCUAGGUCAGAAACUCCCCAGAGCCUGUGCAAAUGACAGAACAAUGCUCACUCUCCCCCAUUUCACAGGUGGGGAAGCUGAGGCUCAAAGAACUGAUGUGACUGGCCCUAACUUAAACCUCACCUCCUCAGGGAAGCCACUCCUGACUGCCUCCUUCACCAGGUCAGGUCCCUGUAUUAUCUGCUCUCAUUUCACUCCCGUGUUUUUCCUUUCUGGCACUUCUUCUAUUUUAUUUUUGUCAAGAGUCAAAUAAGGGUUCUGUGGCCAAAUAAAUUUGGGAAAUGUUAGAUCAGAAAAAUCUGAAUCUCUUCAGGAUUUCUCAGUGACUGUAUUAAUGCUAACGUACUCUGAUCGCCAAGAAAAAGACACCAAUCUUUACCAUUUCCCAAACUUAUUUGGACUCAGAAUCAGUUAAAAGAUACUUUUAUUAUGAGAUAUUUCAAAUAUACAGAAAAAUACAGACAUGAAUCUUAUCGCCAUUUUAGUUAUUUAUACAACAUCUUAUUGCCCAUCUGUCUCCCUUCUGGAUCGUUCGUUUCCACGGGCCCGUUCACUGUAUGGGUGACCGCUGAGUCCUUGGUGCCUCACGCCCCGCCCAGCACACGGCCGAAGGCCGGUGCGUCGGAGGAAGAAGUGAGCGGACAGAGGAAAUCCGGUGUCCUCAGUUCCUGAGUUCUCACACAGGUUAAUGACGAUCACUAGUUGUCGUGAAGAUGCUUACUUCUUGAUGAUGACUUAAAAACAUCACGGUGUUUAAAAACAUCAUGAAGAAUGUCUUUAAACUGUUGACGGUUAAAAUAUAUUUUCUUUCAAAGUCACACCAGGAACCCCUAAGGAGAUGUCACCCAUCCAAACCAAUCUGCGCACGACCCCCUCCCCGAGUGCAGGGCAUCCUGAUAGGCUGCCUUCCUGAUCCUUCCCCAGGAAGGGAGAGAGGCAACGCGGAGGGGCAUCGUGUCCUGAGGGGGAGUCUCCAAGCAUCUGCAAAGCUCAGUGUCUUAAUAGACCUGGGUCCAAGGGGCCAUUGUGUCUCCUGGUCACCUUCCCCGCUGAAGGCAAAUGAGCAUUGUGGCUGUCACGCUGCUGCUGCUGAGAACUGUGAGCAUUUUUCAUGCCCUUAGGGCUUUACAACAGGAUUCCUGCUUUCCUACCAAGACAUGCCAUCUAUGACCCACUGCGUCCCCUCUCUCCCACCUGCAAUGCUGCAUUCUGCAGCUAGAUGGGGGGUGUGGGGGGGGGCAGGCAGGAAUCACAAUCCCCACGCUGCGCUAUGUGGGGAAGAGCUACGCAAUCAGACCAAUCUGGGCUUGACUCCUGGCCUCUUCACUUACUAGCUCGAGACUCAGGGCAAGGGUCCUAGUCUCUCUGAACCUCAGUUUCCUCAUCUGCAAAAUGAAAAUAAUUAAAUUUUUUAAAUGGGUGCAAAAGAGGUUGGUAGACUGAAGCCUGCUGUGUAAAUGUGUGUGUGAAAUUCAUGCGCAUUGAGUCCCUAAUAUACACUUUAUAAAUUACACUUUAUGUCACCUCCACUACUCCUUGCAACCACCUACUGAAGUGUUAUUAUCAUCCCCAUUUUAUAGCUGAGGCCACUAAGGCUCAGAGAGGUUAAGUCACUUGCUCAAGAUCACUCAGAGCAAGUGGGAGAGCUGAGUCUGGACCUCACAUCAGCUAAUUCCAAAUUCCAGCAGGGAUCCUGCAUGCCAAGCCUACCACGGUGGUGCUUAUGCAUUACAGAUUCAGUAACAGCCUAGAACCCCCUCCACACACACACACACACACACACACACACACGCACGCACACAUACAUCCUAUAUCCUCCACCUCUGGGAACAGAGCCUCAACCUCAACCUGCGCCUGCCAUGCAGACUCUCUCUGAGGUGGACCACAACCUGCAGGGGGCACCCAAGGCCCAGUACCAUUAAGCUGGUGUGGACAAGUAACAAGGAACCAUUUCAUGGGCACCUAUUUUGUGCCAGCAGGCAUCAUGCUGGAGCCUCCCCAUUCAUUGUCUCAAUCCUCAGGAAUCCUCAAGGUACAGACUACUAUCACCUCCAUUCCACAGAUAAGGAGUCUGGCUCAGAGAGGAGAAGUUAAAGUCAUUACUGGUAAGUCAGACAGGACUUGAACCAGUCUGUUACCUUCCAAAGCCACGCCACCAGCUGCCUCACCCCAAAUUGCUCCCAUGCCAUCCACCCUAGCCGGCCUAUCAGCAGUCAGGACACCUGGGAGAGAGCCCCUCCCAGCCAAUGUCCGGCUCCUGUAACCUUGAGCAAAUCACUUCAUCUCCCUGGUUUUUAAGCUUCUCGUCUGUAAAAUGGGUGGGCAAAUAUCAAGGUAAGGGAGAUGAGUGGCUGGGAAGAGAACACUUUGCAAACUGCCACACAAUCAUGAGCACUUGUGCUAUUAGGGGAUCUGAAGGACGAGUGCAGGCGAUUCGGAGGUCUGGGAGGAGGGCGAACAGCAGUCUGGUAUGCCUUAUGGAUGUGACCGCCCCCACCCCAACAACACACAGGCCUUUGGUGGUACUCACACUCAGAGGCAGUCACUGCUGGGCUGGCUCAGAGGAGAAAGCAAUGCCCAUUGAUCAGCUGGAUUUGGACCCAGCUCUGCUACUUACUAGCAAAGUGUGACUCGGGGCAAGUGGAAAUCAACUGGGCCUCAGUGUUCUCAUCUGUACAGUGGGGGAGGACGGGUCACAACGCCUGAUAGUGAGGACUCGGUGAGGAAACGUGUUUCACUGGCCUUUCGAAGUGCCUGCCACACAGUGAGCACUCAGACAUUUACUGAUAAGUAGACACCCCAUAACUGUCGGUGCUUCUCUCCCUCAGGGGGCCCCGCACCCCUGGCUUUUCUGAGUCCACAUGGCGGAGGGAGCAUGCAGGUGUGAGCCCCAGCCCAGCACUCUACGGGGAAGGGGACAGGGCGAGUGCUUGCCCAGGUCCCUCAGGUGAAUCUUUCCUCACACAUAGGGUAGUCGGCCCCUCCCCAGGUCUCCCACAGAAGCCCCUUCCAACUGAUCACCCUAUGGGGAAACUGACUGUGAGUCUGUCUCCACACCUGACAGGUGAAUUUCUUCAGGGCCAGGACUGUGGUUCAUUCAUCUCUGCGUCCCUGGGGUCUAGUGCCCAUUGAUAUUUGGUCAGAUGAAAGGAUGAGAGAGAACUAUGCUAGAAAUCCUAUUUGCUCCUAAAUCAGGUAACCAAGCCUCCUGCCUCACCAAGGCCAGCAGAGACUGGCUCCUCACUCCAGAUUCAGAUUCAACUACAGGCACUUACUCUUUAUUUCAUUUAAUCUGGAUCACUGGGAGAGGUGUGUGUCCUAAUGGUGUCCACUUUACAGAUGAGAGAGCUAUGGCUCAGAGAGGGUAAUUAAUUUGUCCAAGACACACGGCCAGUGAGCAGAGGAGCAGAAUCGAACCCAGGGCUUCCUGAACCCAGCUCUGCCUGACACUUCAAGUCCCUGCUCCUGCCCCCGCCUGCUCCUAGAGGUUGAUUCAUGGAACCUCCCCCGACCCCAACACAUCAUAAGGGCAUCUACACGGGAAGGAUCAAA